UGCUGGGACUGGCUCAAGCUCCAACAGGAGCCGUCGUUCUUUUACAAAGAGGGGUGGAGGUUCCAGUGGAGGUUGUUAUUGCCUUUUUUUUUUUUUUUAAUGAAUGGAGGGCGGCGGCGACUGCUGCAGCUGGGCCAGCUGCGCGGGCUGCACCCCCUCCCAGCCUGCGAGAGGAGGGCUUGGACUGUCAGAUUACAUUUCUAAGUUUCCAGAA